rnacentral:rRNA from 1 species
GACGAACGCUGGCGGCGUGCUUAACACAUGCAAGUCGAACGAUGAAGCCGGAGCUUGCUCUGGUGAAUUAGUGGCGAACGGGUGAGUAACACGUGAGUAACCUGCCCUUGACUCUGGGAUAACUGCGGGAAACUGUAGCUAAUACCGGAUACGACCCUCGGAGGCAUCUCCUGGGGGUGGAAAGAAUUUCGGUCAAGGAUGGACUCGCGGCCUAUCAGCUAGUUGGUGAGGUAAAGGCUCACCAAGGCGACGACGGGUAGCCGGCCUGAGAGGGUGACCGGCCACACUGGGACUGAGACACGGCCCAGACUCCUACGGGAGGCAGCAGUGGGGAAUAUUGCACAAUGGGCGCAAGCCUGAUGCAGCAACGCCGCGUGAGGGAUGACGGCCUUCGGGUUGUAAACCUCUUUUAGCAGGGAAGAAGCGAAAGUGACGGUACCUGCAGAAAAAGCACCGGCUAACUACGUGCCAGCAGCCGCCGCAG